CAGGACUUGGAUAAUGCCCAACUAGAAUUUGACGGAGAGUUGGUUUUUGUAAAAGAAAAACUUGCGCCUGUUUGGGAAAUAGUGCAGGGUGGUGCUUGAAAUGAAAAAUAGAUUGAAAUGACGGGUGGAUAAGAAAAAUAUCAUGGGCAGUCGAAUGAAAAAAAUCCCCACAAUUGACCAAAUGGGUAGUGCUUGACUUCAGCUGUACGUACAACUUCAUCCAAAAACCUUCAAAUAUUCCUCUCUCAGCAUUAAUUGUUCACCAACCGACUCAGAGAAUCGUGACAAAGAAUGGAAGAAAAAGGAUUAGAAAAACAAGAGGCGAGGGGCCACCUUUAUCUGGGCGGAAGGUGGGAGAAUUAAUUGACAUAGGACAUGAAAUUUAUACGGAAACUGAAGUCACUUGCAAAAGAGCUUCUGUCGAGUUUGCACCUUACAAAAUUUAACUCCCACUUCCACUUCCACUUCCGCCAUCACUCCACUACAUAGUACUGAGACUUUUUUUCAGGGUUGUUCAGUUUCUACUCUCCAGAGAGGGUUGCAAGAAGCACCGCCAUCAUCAACAGUCUCCACUAUGAGGAGAUUCUUUGGAGUUGAGAGCGUUCCAGCCGUGCUUGAUGCAGAAGUGGUCAACAUAUUUUGCUUCCUAAUAGCUGCAGCCAUACUAGUUGCAGUAAUGGGAUUCACUCUAAUAUGGUGCGCAGUUUGCCUUCCGUCUCCUAUACCAAGACCGGCCUUAUCAGCAAGAACUCCCCUACUCAGGUAUCUUGGUGUGGCUACCAUUCGCCCCUUUCGUUUUCGAGCUGGGACCGAAGACCCCUUUCUCGUUUAGGGUUUGUUGUAUGAACAUCAAUAAAAUUAUGCAUUUAGCAUAAUUUCUGGGGAGAAAAAAACCCUUGUUUCCAGCGUUAUAAUAUUGAGAUCUGGGCUGUCUUUAGCUGCUUUGAUCCAGCUUUUCCGAACCUUUUACUGGCAAAAUGUGCGCCAGAUAUGUUAAGGGCUUGUAGUGUAUGGCCUUUUUACCGGGCUGUUUUUGGCUGCUUGUGGAUGGCUUUUCUAAACCUUUUUACUGUGUGGUGGGUUCUUUUAA